rnacentral:rRNA from 1 species
AGUAAUGCUUGGGAAUCUAGCUUAUGGAGGGGGAGUAACUACGGGAAACUGUAGCUAAUACCGCGUAGUAUCGAGAGAUGAAAGUGUGGGACCUUCGGGCCACAUGCCAUAGGAUGAGCCCAAGUGGGAUUAGGUAGUUGGUGAGGUAAAGGCUCACCAAGCCGACGAUCUCUAGCUGGUCUGAGAGGAUGACCAGCCACACUGGGACUGAGACACGGCCCAG